rnacentral:rRNA from 1 species
AGCAGCCGCGGUAAUUCCAGCUCCAAUAGCGUAUAUUAAAGUUGUUGCAGUUAAAAAGCUCGUAGUUGAUUUUCGGGAUCAAUUUAUUGGUCGUGCUAUUGUACGUACUGGUAUUAUUGAUUCCUACCUUCUGACGAACCAUGAUGUCAUUAAUUUGGUGUCUUGGGGAAUCAGGACUGUUACUUUGAAAAAUUUAGAGUGUUUAAAGCAGGCUCACGCUUGAAUACAUUAGCAUGGAAUAACGAAAUAGGACGUUUGAUUCUAUUUUGUUGGUUUCUAGGAUCGACGUAAUGAUUAAUAGGGAUAGUUGGG